rnacentral:rRNA from 1 species
GUCGCUACUACCGAUUGAAUGGCUCAGUGAGGCCUUCGGACUGGCUCAUGGGGGUUGGCAACGACCGCCAAGAGCCGGAAAGUUGGUCAAACUUGGUCAUUUAGAGGAAGUAAAAGUCGUAACAAGGUUUCC